AAAUGGUUCAAAUCGUUUCUCCACCAUUCAUUUUUCCCAUAGGGGAUUUUAGAAACACUUAAAAUAAGGCUGUGUUUCGUGUAGGCUUACCCUGGCGUGACGUUUUGAUAACCGUGUAAAUCUCUCUAGGUCUAGGGCAAGGUGACUUUUAUCAAUGUAUUCACCUGUAUUUAUCCCCCAAAAAGGAAAUCCUAAUUAGCUGCAAAUAUGGCUAUCAGAAAGAACUACAAAUGCAAUGAUGAUCUGGACGAGACUGCAAAAUCGAGGCAAAGGUGCUAAAGAGACAGAACAUUCCAAGGACCUUCAGAGCCUUUUGACCAACUACCUGCGAUCUCUCCAGAGAACAGAGAAGUGAGUCUGCUGGGCUAUGGAACUCUAGAGAAGCACAUGAAAAAACCUGCAACCCUGUUGUCAGCUAUCCACAGACCGUUCACUAAGGAA
rnacentral:lncRNA from 1 species